rnacentral:lncRNA from 10 species
AGCAUAAAAUUGGGCGGACUGACUCAGAGGCUCCUCUGCAACAUCAGGCAACCAAGGCCUGCGCUCUCCUUUUCCUGAGGAGACUCCCUGGAACCUUCAAGAACCCCCCGACAGCCACCAGGAUACCCGGUCUGAAUGGUUUCCUACCAAGAAAGACCCCGAAGACCUGCAGUUCUGUCCAGAAACGAGUUUUUAGGGUCACUUGAAUUUGAGCUGCUGCGAGGGCGGUGCUUUAGGGAGCAGAGUUCAAAGAGGAAUUCCUCAGGACCCUAGGCCAGGUCCGCGUUAAAGGGCGCCUUACAAACCUCCUCUCCCCACACUCCCCCGCAGCCCCUUCCCCAACGUUUAAGGCACCGGAUCUUGAGAAGCAAAUCUAGUGCCCAGCUUCAAAUCCCCGCCUUGGAAAAGUACAAAGAGAAAACUGAUUUUUCAAAUCCCAAAGCCCUUUCCUUUUAAGCAACUUGGAAAAACUCAGCUAUAAACGCUUUCUCCUCUUAUGCUAAAAUUGAAAACUUAUAGAUUUUAGAUGGAAUGAAGAGAAGAUAUAUUCCUUUUCCCUUUAAAUAGCCACAUUUCAAAUUGUGCCAGGCAGCAAUUUCUGCGAAAAAGGAGUGGCGGUUGGGAUUGUUUGGGAGAUGGAGUUUUAUUUGUUCCCAUUUAUUUUGUUUUAUUUUUGUUUUAUUUUUUUCUUUGAGUUUCUUUGUUAUUUUGAGAUUCAUCUAAGAGACUCAGAAUUCCACUCUGAAUAAAGCACUUUUUGUUGUUUCAAAAUUUCAAACUGACAUAAGUGUUGGAUCAUCAGUUUUCCCUUUGUCUGCCCUAGUUGUAAAUAAUGGCUUUGAGAUUAGCUAAUUAAGGGGCAUUAAUCACUGAUAGAAAGGGAAUAAAUCAAAGC